rnacentral:rRNA from 1 species
GAGUUUGAUCCUGGCUCAGGAUGAACGCUAGCGGCAGGCUUAACACAUGCAAGUCGAACGGUAACAUUGGCGCUUGCACCAGAUGACGAGUGGCGCACGGGAGCGUAACGCGUAUGCAAUCUACCUUUUACUGAAGAAUAGCCCAGAGAAAUUUGGAAUAAUCCUUCAUAAUAUCAUUUAUCAGCAUUGAUUUAUGAUUAAAGCUCCGGCGGUAAAAGAUGAGCAUGCGUCCUAUUAGUUUGUUGGUGAGGUAACGGCUCACCAAGACUACGAUAGGUAGGGGCCCUGAGAGGGGGAUCCCCCACACUGGUACUGAGACACGGACCAGACUCCUACGGGAGGCAGCAGUGAGGAAUAUUGGACAAUGGAGGCAACUCUGAUCCAGCCAUGCCGCGUGCAGGAUGACUGCCCUAUGGGUUGUAAACUGCUUUUAUAUAGGAAGAAACACUCCCACGUGUGGGGGCUUGACGGUACUAUA